UACAGAGGGUGCGAGCGUUGUCCGGAAUCAUUGGGCGUAAAGAGCGUGUAGGCGGUCCGGUAAGUCCGCUGUGAAAGUCGGGGGCUCAACCCUCGAAUGCCGGUGGAUACUGUCGGGCUAGAGUGCGGAAGAGGCGAGUGGAAUUCCUGGUGUAGCGGUGAAAUGCGCAGAUAUCAGGAGGAACACCGGUGGCGAAGGCGGCAUCCUGGACCGGUAUUGACGCUGAGGCGCGAAAGCUAGGGGAGCAAACGGG
rnacentral:rRNA from 1 species